rnacentral:rRNA from 1 species
UGGGGAAUAUUGGACAAUGGGCGCAAGCCUGAUCCAGCCAUGCCGCGUGCGGGAAGAAGGCCUUCGGGUUGUAAACCGCUUUUGUCAGGGAAGAAACGAGUUUCUCUAAUACAGAGACUUAAUGACGGUACCUGAAGAAUAAGCACCGGCUAACUACGUGCCAGCAGCCGCGGUAAUACGUAGGGUGCAAGCGUUAAUCGGAAUUACUGGGCGUAAAGCGUGCGCAGGCGGUUAUGCAGGACAGAUGUGAAAUCCCCGGGCUCAACCUGGGAACUGCAUUUGUGACUGCAUAGCUGGAGUGCGGCAGAGGGGGAUGGAAUUCCGCGUGUAGCAGUGAAAUGCGUAGAUAUGCGGAGGAACACCGAUGGCGAAGGCAAUCCCCUGGGCCUGCACUGACGCUCAUGCACGAAAGCGUGGGGAGCAAACA